rnacentral:tRNA from 1 species
CAGACUGUAGCUUAUUUAAAGCUUAUUAUUUACAUUAAUAAGAAAAUUUUUAUUCUUUCUGA